CUAAUGCACAGAUAGCUGACAUCAACUUCCGUCAGGCAGCUCCGGGAGAUCGAACCUUUCGAUUGUAACUGGGACAAUUUGCAUAGUGAUUCCCUUUUGGAGCUUUCUCGGGUCCGUAACGAGCGCAGGCAGCUAUUCAAAUGCAAGUUGCGUCCCCAAAAGCGCUGCUGGCCUGAGCAAAAGGAGCGGCUCGACGCUGGGCGAGCCGAGACCAGCGCUGGGGUUCUGGGUCACCUCUUUUCUCCCGGUUUCUUCCUCGCUCUUCGGUUCCUGAAUUAGCUGUUUGUUUAUGACUACAAACGCGUGUGAGCCAGAGAGACAGCGCACGAGGGAGGGAAUUGAUGUUUACCCGGACUCAAAGCUGAAGCCGAAGGAGUGCAGGGGAUUUGGGGUUCUGAGUGGGAUUCAGACCCUGGGUUCCGAUGGGGAGCCAGUGGGCUUUCUUGCCCGCUAUCCUAAUCACCGCGACCUUGCAGGAAUCCUCAGGACUGAGAGCGGCUUUGGAGAAAGUGACGGCCGCUGCGUCCCAGUCUUUAAAAUGAACGCAAAGAAAGGAGUCAAAGCUGAAACCUAGUCCCGUGUCAGAAGCAACCUGCCAUGAAAUCCGCUAAUGCGCACAGACUCGCCCUCCGCGGUAAGCCAGCCUCGUAGGUCCACGCCGCAGUGGACUAAGAACGGGGAGUCAGCGCAGCCAGGUGCUCGAGCGUGUGCCACGCGGGUCCUUUGCUGAGCUCGUGGCCACGCAAAUAGGGUGGGAGCCGAGGGCGGAGGGCACAGCCAGCGUCACGCCCGGGAAACGGAAAGGGGGCGCCCCCCUCCCAGACUGUCUGCCAGCCACCGUGGGUAACAGGUCCUCCCCCACGAGUUUAAAGCAGCAAAUGAGAACCAAGAGCUGGCCUCGGAGCGGGGUGUAAACGCGGGUGGCGGGUACGCGAGCACGCUGCUGAGCUUUGCGCGCGGUUCUGUUCCCGAGCAGCGCGCCGCGGCCCCGUGCACCUGCUCUGUGCGUUUUGUACAAACGGAGUGGGCAAGGUACACACUCCUUGGAGCAGGCCCCCAACUAGAAUCUGUCUAUUCUUCCUCACUUCUAGUUGACGUUUCUACACCGCCCAGGUUACUCGGUUUUUCCUCGGAAUCUAACCCAAGCCUUCUAAAGAUAACCCAGCCAGUGACCUUGACACAGAAUGUUGUGGCAAAAAAUCACCUCGUUCACUUCAGCAGUGGCUAAAUUUGUGUUAUUUUGUUUUAAGUACUGAAAGGGGGGACAUAGGUUAUUUAAACCUGCAGACAUAGCCAAACACAUUUUCAAAUAUUCUUCUUAUAUUGCUUCAGUGCUGAGAGCGGGCAGGGAGCUUAAUGAUCCCUGCUUUAUGCAGGAUGCACGGAAUAUUUUUCUUGGUUUUUUGUUUGUUUGUUUGUUUUGAUAGCUUUGAAAAAACGUAGACUGUUUCUCUGUUCUUUUCCUAACCGAUUCUUAGGAAUCCAAAACAGUAAAAGUAAACGUCUGUUUGAAAUUGAACGUCGAGAAAAGCAGACAGGUUGGAGCAAAUAAAUUCAACAUAAAUUAAAAGUGAAUUGGACAUAGCAAGCGAAACUAUGAAAAAGAUAUGAGCAAUUAAUAUCUAUGGGGGAAGCAGGUUUAAAGCUGAAAUCUCUAGGUUUUACUCCCAACGCAAACGAAGCCAAAGGAAUUGAAUACAUUGGCUUGCCCUUGUGCAUCUAACUGAAAACAAGAGGCCUGCCCAAAGCCAUCUUGAUCAAGUGUACACUCCGAGGAUGUUAAAGGACGGAUUCACUGCGAGACACUUGCAUACAUUUUCCGUAAACUACAACCAAUUAGGGGACCUUUAGUUCUGGUGGGAAACUAUUUUAAUUUUAUAUCUGCCUUUGGGGGAGAAGAAAAGCCUGGCAGUUAUUACUCGUUCCUGAGGAGUUAAUUUAAUGCAAAUAGUCUACUCUCCUGUCAGCACAGGAGAAGUAGAAGCCCCGGGGGUCAGGAAGGGCCAGUCGGGUGGUGGAGAAGCCUAGCGCUCUGGGGAGACCGACAGGAGACUCGGAACCAGCGUUGGGUUGGUUGCUUCUCUCCCUCUCCUAAAACUGUAACUCAAGAUGUAAGUAAAAGUGUUUUCAUUUUUUAUUGAUCCCACUAACAUCUUUCAUUAUCCAGCAUGUAGCCACAGCAAAUUAUUGCUCAUUUGAUACCCAGAAUUCUAUUGACCAUGGCUUUCGUCGGGAGGGAGAAUUCUAACUCCUGAUGGCUCUGAGUUCAGAGCUGAGGCUGGAAACGCGUAAAUCCAGCUCUGACCUGCAGGAAUUGAUGGACGUGUGUGGGUGACAUGGAUCCACGUGGGCAUGCAUAGAAACCUGCUUUUUACUCUGCUGGCUUUGCCCCCAUUCCGGCAAAAGGUCAGUCCCUUUGGAACAGACAGGGCUACUUGCAAGGCUGGGAAUUCGUUGGUAAGUUCUUUCCAGCUCUAGCCAGCCCGGGAAGAAAAUAAGACAAUGGAAGAUUUUUCCUCUGGCUUUUGUGCGAAGCUAGCCCACAACAGAAAUACUUAAAGAAGCAUUAAACCAUGCCCCCUCAACAAAAGGUUCUUGAUUUUUACCUAAGAAUAUUAUUUUUUUAAAUUUCAUCCUCCUCCCACUCUUUCAAGAUCCUACAACAUUACAGAGAGGCUAGCGUGGACUGAACGAUCUGCGAUGAGUCUGGUUGGCCGUGGGCACCCUCCUCCAUGACAGGAGCCAUGGCUACAAUGCCCAACUCGGGUAAAGAAGGAACCUCUGCCUGACCUUUGACCCUGAAACUCACCGCCCCCCCCCCAGGUUGCUAGAGAGAGGCUGGUCCCAAAAUGAGGCCUGAGAAGAGGGCCUUGAGGGCAGUGGGGAAGGCCAGAUGAGUGCUUCGGGAAGCUGGAUUUGGGAUAUGCCUACCAGAUCUCCAGGAACUGAUGCCACUCUGAAUCAGGAGACCUGAAGACUUGACCUGCCAAAGGUUGCCUGCCCAUCUCCUACAUAGCCUAGUGAGGGACCUCCUCACUGCCUCCACGUAGGGGAAAGUCACAAUUGGAUCCCUCCACAGAGCCUGUCCUAUUUCCAAGGAACAAGGAAUCCGAUCCAUACCCUUCUCCUUGAGCCCUGACACCUAGAGGGACCGAGGAAGAGGCAUUCAUUUCUACAAGUAUCAGGAGCUAAGCCGUCCAGGCUGAUUUCGAGAACAGCAACAAUGUAAAGAAGCCAUUAAAGGUUUUCUAAAAGCCCCAGCUCGUGCCAUACCUCCAAAGAGCUCUGAUGCAAAACCUGAAGGUGCAUUUAAGGGUGCUAAGGGACCUGGCCCCGGGAUAUUGUGAAAAGUGUGUGAAGCCACUGUCAGGAGGCCCUGUUGUUCCCGAACAAGGCAGUGAAAAUGUAGGAGUGGGCACCACAGACAGCACGCAGAGCAAGGGGCUGAAAGCGAAGGGACUCCCGAGGAUUCCGACACUCAGCUGGAGAAUUUGGGGAGUGUAGAGGGAAAUACACACUGUGGGCUCUUUUGUUUUUCUUUUAAAACACUUAAAAACGAACAGAACCCGGCUGUUGAUGUAAUUAUGAGAUGUUCAAUGCAGUAUAUUCUUCACGGGUACCCCCAGCCACUACACUUAUCUCUACUAGCCUAGGCUGGUGUGGAAAGCAAGCAAGCAAACAAACAUACACUUUGCCAGUUCCAGCAGCUCUGAAAGCCAAGACAAACAAACAAACAAUCACACACAGAGACCUAGGGGGAAGAGGCAGACUUCAAACAGUUGUUCCUCUACCUGUGGCUGGCUGAGUUCUGGAGCUGUGGAGUCCUAAAAAGGCAAAGUAGGUCAUCCUGAAUGCAGAAGUUACCUUGGGAAACAAAACUAGAGACCUGGGUUUGAGGUCAUGUUGGGGUCACCCAGCAGCAUUUCUUUGGAGCAAGACAGAACUGAGAGUUUUUCAGUGGGACACAAUUGAUUUGGAUCUGAGAUUGAGAAAUGUCUUCUAGGAACUGCAGCAAUCACCUGGGGGCGGGGUUAAAAAGUGCUCUUGCCUCUCCUCGGAGGACUCCUGACUGGGGCACUACACUUCCCAACUGCCUUAUCAGCCCCCUCAGGGUUUUGCCAGGCAAAUGAAACUCAAGAACUCAAUAGUAAAUUAUUUUGUUCAGCCUUCUGUCUUUUUAUGAAAAUAAAAGCCAACACUUUGUCAUUUUUAAUCGCAUAAGCAGACAAUAAAUCUAAUUUGGAUAUUGA